AAGAGAUUAGAUAGUGGUGAGUGCAUGCAGAGAAUUCAAGGUUUAUGCUGUGAAGAAAAAGAGUGGAAUUUCCCUUAGAUUGAGCAUGCAGAAAGGUCUCUCUGAAGGUCUGAGACUUGAAGGAUGAGAAGGAGCUAACUAGGAAAGGUAAUGCACUAUAGAUGCAAAUAUCCUUGUGGUUGCUGGGUGGAGACAGAAAUGGAAGCAGGCUGAGGUGAUGUGAAGAGAACAAUCAUCUGGGAGAGAGAGAGACUGGGAGAAGUCCGGAGCCCACAAAGACCCACCUGGGGCCUCUGCUGAUACAGAGGAGUCUGUGUCUAAAGGAUGGGGCAGGAGAGUCACUGAGAGGAGAUGACAAACAUCUUUCCACACCCAAGGAGCUGGCCUCUCAGAAUCUGCCCAACCAUUCAGGAAGAGCAUGAUGGGAGCUGGAGGAGGUGUGGACGCCACAGGAGCUGAACCCUUCGUUCACUGGGCCCUUCCUUCACUGUUCUGUCUCACCUUGAGCCUGGAGGAAUGGAGUCGGCUGUCUAUGGACUGAGACCUCUGAAACCGUGAGCCCCAAAUACACUUUUACUCCUUUAAGUUGUUCUUGUCAGGUGAAUUGGUCACAGUGACAAAACUGACUAAAACAAGUAUUAUUAUUGUCUUACUUUAUAGGGUUUCAUCCUGUUAUAAUUUAAGUUCAUUUUUCCUCCAUUUAAAAAAAUAAAUAGUCAGAUGUCACUAUAGGUCUGUAGUAACUACAGCUCUCAGGGAGGUUUGCAAGUUUGAAGCCAGCCUCAGCAACUUAGUGAGGUCCUGUCUCAAAAUAAAAUAAAAAGGGCUGGGGACAUAGCUCAGUGGAAGAGCACCUUUCUAGCACGCACAAGGCCCUGGGUUCAAUUGCCAGUACCAAAAAAUGAAAUAAAAUAUAAUAAACAAUAAUCAUUGAACAGCAUAUAGUUCCCUGAACUAUUCAGAAAAAGAAUAUAAAUGAAGAACAAAGAAAUAACUGGGAAAGGAACUAAGGUACAGAGACCUUGGAAACCUGCCUCCCAAGCCUAUGCUCUUGGCUACUCCACGUUCUCAAUCUUUCUCCUGUCUCCUUUUAUCUGUCCAUCAUCCAUCCAUCCAUCCAUACAUACAUACAUACAUUUUAGUCAGCUAUUUUGCCACUGUGACCAAAAGACCCAACCAGAACAAUUGUAGAGGAGGAAAAGUUUAUUUAAGGGCUCACAGUUUCAGAAGUCUCAAUCUAUAGACAGUGGAGUCCAUUCCUCUAGGUUCAAGGUGAGGCUGAACAUCAUGGCAGAACAAUGUGGAAGAGGGAAGCAGCUCACAUCAUGAUAAUCAGAAAGCGGAGAGAGCAUCCACUCGCCAGAUACAAAUAUAUACCCAAAGCCACACCCCAAUUCCCACCUCCUCCAGCCACACCCUACCCACUUCAGUUACCACUCAGUUAAUUCCUAUCAGGGGAUUAAAUCACUGAUUGGGUUAAGACUCUUACAGUCCAAUCAUUUCUCCUCUGAGCCUUCUUGCACUGUCUCACAUGUGAGCUUUUGUCUCAUAUCCAAACCAUAACACCAUCAGUCCAUCCAUCCAU